UACAGAGGUCUCAAGCGUUGUUCGGAUUCAUUGGGCGUAAAGGGUGCGUAGGCGGCGCGGUAAGUCGGGUGUGAAAUCUCGGAGCUUAACUCCGAAACUGCAUUCGAUACUGCCGUGCUUGAGGACUGGAGGGGAGACUGGAAUUUACGGUGUAGCGGUGAAAUGCGUAGAUAUCGGGAGGAACACCAGUGGCGAAGGCGGCGAUCUGGGAAGAUACUGACGCUGAGGUGCGAAAGCGUGGGGAGCAAACAGG
rnacentral:rRNA from 1 species